rnacentral:rRNA from 1 species
UACGGAGGAUGCGAGCGUUAUCCGGAUUUAUUGGGUUUAAAGGGUGCGUAGGUUGUUUUUUAAGUCAGCGGUGAAAGUUUGUGGCUCAACCAUAAAAUUGCCGUUGAAACUGGAAGACUUGAGUGUGUUUGAGGUAGGCGGAAUGCGUGGUGUAGCGGUGAAAUGCAUAGAUAUCACGCAGAACUCCGAUUGCGAAGGCAGCUUACUAAGCCAUAACUGACACUGAAGCACGAAAGCGUGGGGAUCAAACAGGAUUAGAAACCCCAGUAGUCCGCCUGAUGUGCCAGCAGCCGCGGUA